GCGGGGAGUUGGAGCGGCAUCGCUGACUGCGAAAUAAUAAUUUAAAUGGACUAAGGAACAAACGUAGACUGUCACUGGGGAUGGGAAAGCCAAAGACAAGCAGGGAGACAGAUGUUGAAUAGAUUAUUUGCUAUAUUUGAGAUUGACAUUCUAAAAAUAAAUGCAUUAAAUUAA